UACGGGGGGAGCAAGCGUUGUUCGGAUUUACUGGGCGUAAAGGGCGCGUAGGCGGCGCGACAAGUCACUUGUGAAAUCUCUGGGCUCAACCCAGAACGGUCAAGUGAUACUGUCGUGCUAGAGUGCGGAAGGGGCAACUGGAAUUCUUGGUGUAGCGGUGAAAUGCGUAGAUAUCGUAAGGAAGGCCAGUGGCGAAGGCGGGUCUCUGGACAGUUCCUGACGCUGAGGCACGAAGGUCAGGGGAGCAAACGGG
rnacentral:rRNA from 1 species